rnacentral:rRNA from 1 species
GACGAACGCUGGCGGCGUGCUUAACACAUGCAAGUCGAACGGAAAGGCCCUGCUUUUGCGGGGUGCUCGAGUGGCGAGCGGGUGUGAAACACGUGAGUAACCUGCCCUUGACUGUGGGAUAACUCCAGGAAACUGGGGCUAAUACAGGCUAGGAGCUCCUGCUGCAUGGUGGGGGUAGGAACGUUUCGGCGGUGGGGGAUGGACUCGCGGCUAACCAGCUUGUUGGUGGGGUAGUGGCUUACCAAGGCUUUGACGGGUAGCCGGCAUGAGAGCGUGACCGGCCACAAUGCGACUGCGAUACGGACCAGACUCCUACGGUGGGCAGCAGUGGGGAAUAUUGCACAGUGGGCGGAAGCCUGAUGCAACAACGCCGCGUGCGGGAUGACGGCCUUCGGGUUGUAAACCGCUUUCGCCUGUGACGAAGCGUGAGUGACGGUAAUGGGUAAAGAAGCACCGGCUAACUACGUG